rnacentral:rRNA from 1 species
UACGUAGGGGGCGAGCGUUGUCCGGAGUUACUGGGCGUAAAGGGCAUGCAGGCGGUCGGACGCGUUUCGGGUGACAGCGGGUGGCUUAACUACCCGAGUGGUCGAAAGACGGUUUGACUUGAGGACGCGAGAGGGACACGGAAUUCCGGGUGGAGUGGUGAAAUGCGUAGAGAUCCGGAGGAACCCCAGAGGCGAAGGCGGCGCCCUGGCUCGCAACUGACGCUCAGACACGACAGCAUGGGGAGCGAACGGG